UGAUUGGAAAAAAAUAAAAAACGGUAGCCCGCGGUUAGCACGAUUGGAGAGCACGCCAUCACCAGAUAAAAGGGUAACCGUCAGGGAGCACGAUCGGAGACUGGAGACAUCGUGGGAGAUGAUCGGAGUAGAUAUGGCCUCAUCGCUAUUCACCCGUCUCUCAGUUUACAAUUCAUUUGAUUGAAAAGAGAAAACUCACACGGGAAGAGAAGCAGAGCAAACUCAAACCCAGAGUGAGGGAAAGAUUAGUAUCAAAAUCGGUUGCAGAUUCACGUUUCUGAACAAACCUCUCGCCAACGAUUCUAUCUGGGUUUAAUAAAUCAAGCUUAAUGCCUUCAAAGAGUUUGGAGGGACUUUGCAUACUUGGGUAGUUUCUAUAUAUCUUGAAGGAAUCGGAAAACUUUGGUUACAGGUGAAUUAAAUGGGAGAUUUCUGAACAUUGUGAGAAAAUGAUGUCUGCUAAUGUUGGUUCCAGGUAUGAAUGGGAGAUGCUUUUCAUUGAUGACCGUUGUUAGGCCUUUUCAUACAUUAUAUCCGCUGCCAAUUGUAUCUGGAUUCAAUUGCCAGAUACAGAUUAAAUAAAAGGAGAAACGCAGUCCAUAAAGACGAAAAGCGGAAAAUCAAACAGAAAGGAAAAGAACAAUAUCAACCAUCAUUAUUCGGUUCAAAAUUUCAAAUUCCGGUAUAACUUGCCAAUUGUUCUUUGGAUAUAUAGAUUGCAAUUCUGCACUUGAUUGCAAUUCGAUCUGCUCUAGCAUAGAUUGCACUUAUGUGUGAGCCUUGCUGAUUUAGUUUUUGGUUAAUCAAUAUUCUUUGUCAAUGGUUAAGUAAUUUGCUUGAAACGGUUCAAAAUUCAUACUUUGAUUUUCUGUUUCUUCUUGCAGAGAGUAGGCAACUGAUGGUAUGAAUAAAACAAAUGCAGAAGUUUUACAGAAUUAUGUUUUUUUUUUUUGGAUGAACAGUUUACAGAAUUAUGUUUGUAGUGUUUAAGUGGUGAGAAAACAUUUCAUUCCUUGCUUCAAUGAAUAGAAAACAUAUAUUCAAUCUUGCGAGUUUGUGCUUUUUAAAUGUUGUUGCUUUCUUGGUGCAGGUAAUUGCAAUUAGUUCUUUUGGGUUAGUUGUUCAAUAUGUCAACUCUUAGUCCUACUUCUCGAUCAUAAUUUUUUCUUUUUCUCUUUCGACCUGCAAUCCAUCAUUAUUUUUUCAUUUUCUCUUUGAUUUUCAAUCCAUUUAGAAGGAAGAUAAUUACAGAAAAAACCUUGAUGUUUUAACAACUUAAAUAUUUGUUUCCGUAUUUUUCGUUUUAACAGGAUCAAAGUGAAAGUUAUGUUGCACGUCUCUAUUAUUUGGUCAGUUUCAAGAUCAGAAGAGAUGUUCGUUUUUGUUACUUUCUUUGGUCUUCAUUGAAGGGGAAACAGAUGUUCUAUUAGCUAAUUGCUUGCGAGAUUGAUAUUUCUAUCUUUCCUGGUAGAUGGUGAAUCUUUGCUCUUCCGAAUGACUCUGCGUUUUACAUGGUAGUCAUUAGGCUUUUAUUUGUCUAUUAGUUUGUUUGUGUGCAAAUAGUGUGUUUCACAGGGUUGAGAAGACUUCUUUGAUGAAUCGGUUUGUUUUAGUGAUUAGCUGUUUAAUUUCAAAGGUAUUGUGUUAUGUUGUUUAGAUAGAACAAUUUUUCUUUUUCUUGACCAUAAUUCGUAUAGAUAUGUUAAUAAAAAGUUCAGCAAUCAAUAAGAGGUGACUACUGGAGCCGAUUUCUUGACGAAAGAAGUGCAGUUCGAAGAUAGGAUCUUCACCAUACAGGUCUUUUUAGUCUUAGUUCAUCUUAUUGAUUCAAGCAUUCAAAUAUUACCGCACAAGGAUGUUUCUCGGUUUAAAUGUGGGGGAUGUGUUGGAAAGGAAUUUUGUUGGGUGCGUGUUCCUUUUUGUGUUUGAAUUUGUUGUUUCAAACUUUCAAUCAGAAUGUAUGGUUCAUACUUUAGAGACAAACUUGAUAGAUGGUGCGAUAAAACAGUUCGAACCUUAGGAUAUUAGCAAUAAGUAUAUUGCAUUAUUUUUGGUUGUUUGAUUAAGUGUAGUUGGGAUUUGCUAUCAUUUACUUCUUCUUCUUCCUUUUUUUUUUUUUGCAUUUUCAUUAGUGAGAAUACUUCUGCUUAAAUUGUAAUGCAGCAACAAGAGGAUCUGGAAUGUGCAAGCUCUUGCCCAGUAAUGUUGAAUUGUUUGUAACUGAUCGAGUAGAGGAGAGUAACAACCAUCAAGGUUGAACUGCAGUAGAUACAAGGCAACUGGCGAUCUCUCUUGCUGAUAUCCUUUUUAGUAGAGAUUGAGCAUUAGUUUGUAUUUAAGAUACAUGGAUUAUGGUUGUACUUUUGAGUUGGACAGAGACAUUGGAGGUGUGGCAUUUCAUAUUGUACUAUCUUAUAAGUGGUCUAUAAACAAAAUAGGUAAAUGAAAAAAAAAAUGUACGUCAUAGACAAGUUGAUGUUUCUAUGUAAAUAUUUUGCAAAAUAUUAUAAUAUUUGACAAGAUAAGCUUC